rnacentral:rRNA from 1 species
GAUGAACGCUGGCGGCGUGCCUAAUACAUGCAAGUCGAGCGAACAGAUGAGGAGCUUGCUCCUCUGACGUUAGCGGCGGACGGGUGAGUAACACGUGGAUAACCUACCUAUAAGACUGGGAUAACUUCGGGAAACCGGAGCUAAUACCGGAUAAUAUAUUGAACCGCAUGGUUCUAUAGUGAAAGACGGUUUUGCUGUCACUUAUAGAUGGAUCCGCGCCGCAUUAGCUAGUUGGUAAGGUAACGGCUUACCAAGGCAACGAUGCGUAGCCGACCUGAGAGGGUGAUCGGCCACACUGGAACUGAGAAACGGUCCAGACUCCUACGGGAGGAAGCAGCAGGGACUCUUCCGCAAUGGGCGAAAGCGUGACGGAGCAACGCCGCGUGAGUGAUGAAGGUCUUAGGAUCGUAAAACUCUGUUAUUCGGGAAGUACAAAUGUGUAAGUAACUAUGCACGUCUUGACGGUACCUAAUCAGAAAGCCACGGCUAACUACGUG